GACAAUAUUAUACUGUAUCUAACAAGCAAUGGCCAUAGAGAACACAGAAUAAUUAGUGCCAAUCAAUAGAUACUUAAUGUUUCAUCCAAUCAAAAGUCUAUGCAGAGAACCGAAAAGACAACCUAUUGUAGGAUAUGUCUAUAGUGCAGUCCAUACUAAUAUACAUGCUCUGAGAAGUUAACAACUUGACAUGUAUAUUGCUUCCUCAUGAUUCAUGAUCUGUAGCUCGAACUAGAAUGAGAGCAGCAGGAGUCAGCAACCCGGUGCCAGUGGCUUGCCUCGGUCAUUCCUGCUCGGAGAGCACCCCAUUGUGUCUCCUACAUGAGGAUGUAUUCUCCAGACUGGACAAACGAGUACCAGCAGCAGGUGCGCCGUACCUUCGAUCCUUGCCCUGCCAUGGAUUGCGAUAUUCAAUCUUAACCAUAACAUAUGCCACUGCAUGUCUCAGGUGAUUAAAGUAAUCUGUUUACUACAAUGUCCUACAAGAAGUAGGAUGAAGCUAAGUUCAGCGCUCCUGGGCAGCAAGUCAAUUAAUCCCGGCAACAUCCAGACUCUGCAGGAUAUUUAGUGUCAAAUGGUGAGACCAAUUAACUGCCUAAUAGUUGCUGCUUCAUAUGAUUUUCUUGACACUACAUAAUCUAACUUUUCUUGGUUAGCGCAUUAGCACAACUAGGAAUUCGACUACUGGUUGGUAUAACAUUGUUCAAAUUACCCAAUUUGAAAGGCAACCAUCAUAGGUUUAUUUCACAAAUUGAUGUAAACAAACGGUCGCUUAAAGAAGUUGCCGCGUCUUGAGGAUGUCUUAAGCGGCUAUCACAAGGAUAUGAUUACUCAGCCCAGUAUUUUCAAGCAUUACGAUUGGGCAUAGUCCUAAUCAUCCGGUCGCAAUGCCAAUGAAGCAAGAAAAUAACCAGAAGGAAGACUCAUUUAAGUGCAUGUAUCAACAUAAUUUCCGCUUCUUCCUAUAUUCAUUCUUUUCUUCUCAUUAUGUUCCCAGUUUCCUACUUUGUAGGAUGUAAAAUAUGAAAUACAUUUUCUGAUAGUUUCAUUUGUUUGUUCAAAGCAUUGGAAACAUGCAUCAACAUUUGAUGGAAAUAGCUCAAUAUAUCAAUUAGUAUCAACAAUCUAUAUUAUGUGAUACCUGAUAUUUGAAUCUUAUUAUACAGUACAGGCCAAUAGUGAGUGCCCAUGCAUCAUUAUGUUUUAUAUGUAUAAUGUAACCAGAUCAAUUUUCCUAUUCAGUUAUUAUAAAUCUCAGUUUAUCUUUGGGAAUUAUUAAAACUAUAGUGAAGCCCAAAUAAAACAACUACUUCCUCCGUUCCUAAAUAAGUCUUUGUAGAGAUUCCACUAUGGAUUAGAUAAGGAGCAAAAUGAGUGAAUCUACACUCUAAAUACAUCUAUAUACAUCCGCAUGUGGUUCAUAGUGGAAUCUCUACAAAGACUUAUAUUUAGGAACGGACGGAGUAUUUCUUAAGUAUGCUGAAUAUUAAUGGGGGUAGGGGGGCUAACACUUCCGUGCCGAUGCCGGUCACAAGCCAGGAAAAAAAGUGGAGGGACAUAAACAAAUUAACAUUAUGCCCGUAGUUAUGUUUGGCAUGUAUAACUUACAAUGAUUAUGUAGUUGAUGGACCAGAAGUCAAUCUGAUGAAAACCAACAUCAGACAAUAUGUAGGAGCACAAAAUACAUAAAUGGUGCAGAUUAUACUGGUGCAAUCGCACAAAAUCAGAAAAGGGGAAGGGAGAAGGAGGGACCUGCAGGUGGAAGAAUGCAACGCCAGAGCCGGGCUGCAGCUAUCAAGAAUGAAGACAGCGUGAUAAGCUGUCUCGCUUUGGGACAACAACGACGCGUCCGGUUCGGCGCUUCUGGAUGACAACGCCUCCAGGAAACCUCACACUCGCGCAGGAUCCAAGCUAGCUGCGGGGGACGAGAUCGACACCCUCAUCGCCUCCAUGGAGGCCGACUGCAACGGCAAUCGACUUCGACGAGCUCGCCUCCUCCCUCGCGCAACGGCUAUUCGGGACCUGCAACCCCUCCGUCGCCGUUCACUGGCCCGAGAGAUCCACGACCACGAGGCACGGGGGGAUCCAAACCAGCUGUUGUAGAAAGCCACAGCGUGGCCGUACCACUUACCCUUGACGUGGGGUGCGUGCAGGUGAGGACGAUCAAGAAGGAAAUGAGGGGGGCAUCAGAUCAGUCCUCACACGCGGUGGAUCGAAGCUGGACCGGCUUCCCUCAUGGGAGCUCCCGAGAAGACAAGAACACAAGACUGGAGAAAGGGGAAAGUGAGUGUUCAGCUUGGUGGGACCCCUGAUGCCGUCGCGUUGUGCACAAUGGUCAGAGGAAAGUGAAGAGCAACUUUUUCUUUGCUUGCGAUUCAGGCGUGAGACAAGCUUGCUGUCUUCUAAAAUUGUCUUACCUUAACUCUAUUAAGUGUUCAUGAAAUAAAAACAUAGGUACCAUUGCG
rnacentral:lncRNA from 1 species